rnacentral:rRNA from 1 species
UACAGAGGGGGCAAGCGUUGUUCGGAAUUACUGGGCGUAAAGGGCGCGUAGGCGGCCUGUUAAGUCGAACGUGAAAUCCCCAGGCUCAACCUGGGAACUGCGUCCGAUACUGGCAGGCUUGAAUCCGGGAGAGGGAUGCGGAAUUCCAGGUGUAGCGGUGAAAUGCGUAGAUAUCUGGAGGAACACCGGUGGCGAAGGCGGCAUCCUGGACCGGCAUUGACGCUGAGGCGCGAAAGCCAGGGGAGCAAACGGG